rnacentral:rRNA from 1 species
AUUGAACGCUGGCGGCAUGCCUUACACAUGCGAGUCGAACGGCAGCGGGGGAGAAGCUUGCUUUUCCUGCCGGCGAGUGGCGAACGGGUGAGUAAUACAUCGGAACGUGCCCUGUAGUGGGGGAUAACUAGUCGAAAGAUUAGCUAAUACCGCAUAUGACCUGAGGGUGAAAGUGGGGGACCGCAAGGCCUCAUGCUAUAGGAGCGGCCGAUGUCUGAUUAGCUAGUUGGUGGGGUAAAGGCCUACCAAGGCGACGAUCAGUAGCUGGUCUGAGAGGACGAUCAGCCACACUGGGACUGAGACACGGCCCAGACUCCUACGGGAGGCAGCAGUGGGGAAUUUUGGACAAUGGGCGAAAGCCUGAUCCAGCAAUGCCGCGUGUGUGAAGAAGGCCUUCGGGUUGUAAAGCACUUUUGUCCGGAAAGAAAUGGCUCUGGUUAAUACCUGGGGUCGAUGACGGUACCGGAAGAAUAAGGACCGGCUAACUACGUGCCAGCCGCCGCAGUAA